UACGGGGGGGGCAAGCGUUAUUCGGAAUUACUGGGCUUAAAGGGUGCGUAGGCGGCGCGGAAAGUUGGGUGUGAAAUCCCUCGGCUCAACCGAGGAAUUGCGCUCAAACUACCGUGCUCGAGGGAGAUAGAGGAAUGCGGAACUUAGGGUGGAGCGGUGAAAUGCGUUGAUAUCCUAGGGAACACCGGUGGCGAAAGCGGCAUUCUGGAUCUCAUCUGACGCUGAUGCACGAAAGCUAGGGUAGCAAACGGG
rnacentral:rRNA from 1 species